UACUACUGACAAAGUGUUCACUGCAGAUCCUUGAAUGGCUUUUGGGAAUCCAAGGUAUCCCAUCUUCCUCAUUCCUGUGGAUUGCUUUAAACCAAAGUUUUUUC